rnacentral:ncRNA from 1 species
CUGACUUCAAACAAGGUUCAGACUGUACACUCAGCGGGCCUACCAAUUGCACACCCUUUAGUUUGUCCAUUUUCAUAUCAUUCAAUUUUACAUUAAUUUUCAAUGAUUCUAAUUUCAAUAGGUCCUUGGUCAAUUGACCGGCGGAGACGGGCGUUGCGAGGCAUCCAGUGAGGUAACGCGACCGAUCCCGGAGAAGCUGGCGGGAGCCCCGGGGAGAGUUCUCUUUUCUUUGUGAGGGGCAGGGUGCCCUGGAAUGGGUCGGCCCCGAGAGAGGGGCCCAAGACCUGGAAUGCAGUUUCGGGGGCGUCCGGUGAGCUUUCCCUGGCCCUUGAAAAUCCGGAGGAGAGGGUGUAAAUCUCACGCCGGGCCGUACCCAUGUCUUCAGCAGGUCUCCAAGGUGAACAGCCUCUGG